GACGAACGCUGGCGGCGUGCUUAACACAUGCAAGUCGAACGAAGUGGCGAACGGGUGAGUAACGCGUAAUCAACCUGCCCUUCAGAGGGGGAUAACAGUUGGAAACGAAUGCUAAUACCGCAUACUGAAGGAGGUGAUUGGGUCUGAUGUGCUCGUUGGAGGGGUAACGGCCCACCAAGGCGAAGAGCAGUAGCCGGUCUGAGAGGAGGGACGGCCACAAUGGGAAUGGGACACGGCCCAGACUCCUACGGUGGGCAGCAGUUGGGAAUCUUCCGAAAUGGACGAAAGUCUGACGGAUCAACGCCGCGUUAGUGAUGACGGCCUUCGGGUUGUAAAGCUCUGUUAAUCGGGACGCGGUACCGGAAUAGAAAGCCACGGCUAACUACGUGCCAGCAGCCGCGGUAAUUC
rnacentral:rRNA from 1 species